GGGUUUGAGGGACCAUGGACUUCCAACCCUCUCAUCUUCGACAACUCGUAUUUCACCGAGCUCUUGACCGGGGAGAAAGAAGGUCUUCUGCAGUUGGUAUCGGACAAGACACUUCUGUCCGACCCUGUCUUCCGCCCUCUUGUCGAAAAA